UGAGGAAUAUUGCGCAAUGGGGGAAACCCUGACGCAGCGACGCCGCGUGGGUGAAGAAGGCCUUCGGGUUGUAAAGCCCUGUCAGGUGGGAAGAAGCCUCUGGAGGUGAAUAGCCUUCGGAAUUGACGGUACCACCAAAGGAAGCACCGGCUAACUCCGUGCCAGCAGCCGCGGUAAGACGGAGGGUGCAAGCGUUGCUCGGAAUCACUGGGCGUAAAGCGCGUGUAGGCGGUUCGGUAAGUCGAGUGUGAAAGCCCGGGGCUCAACCUCGGAAGUGCACUCGAAACUGUCGAACUUGAGUACGGGAGAGGGAAGUGGAAUUCCUGGUGUAGAGGUGAAAUUCGUAGAUAUCAGGAGGAACACCGGUGGCGAAGGCGGCUUCCUGGACCGAUACUGACGCUGAGACGCGAAAGCGUGGGGAGCAAACA
rnacentral:rRNA from 1 species